rnacentral:rRNA from 1 species
UACGUGGGGUGCGAGCGUUGUCCGGAAUUAUUGGGCGUAAAGAGCUCGUAGGCGGUUUGUCGCGUCUGCUGUGAAAACUCGGGGCUUAACUCCGGGCCUGCAGUGGGUACGGGCAGACUAGAGUGCGGUAGGGGAGACUGGAAUUCCUGGUGUAGCGGUGAAAUGCGCAGAUAUCAGGAGGAACACCGGUGGCGAAGGCGGGUCUCUGGGCCGUAACUGACGCUGAGGAGCGAAAGCGUGGGGAGCGAACAGG